AGAUAGGUGGAGCCGAGCUUGGUCCGGCCGAAACCGGAGAAGUCAGGCGUAGCUGGACGGAGCAGAGCUGGGCGAACUUGAGUGGAGCCGAACCAAUCGGUGAGCGGAGAGGAAUGGAGUUGAGCCAAUCGGAGACGGACGAGAGUGGCUCUGCUAAGAAGAGCGGAGACUACCCCAGCCCGGCACCUGGACACAGCGGUUCUGAAUUAGAGCUGGGCAGGAUGGGCCGAGCAGAGCCAAACUUAGCUACCUACUCUAGUGGUGACAACUAGAACGCAAGUGAGCCUCGCAGAUCCUGGUCCGGUCCGGCAAGGCGGAACACAGGGAUGGGGUCUUGUCCAGUCGGACCCGGAGUCAGGCCAGCCCGGGAAGGGGUUUGGGGGGAGAAGAGUCCGGCCAAGCCGAGCGGAAUAGUAGUCCUAGACGAGUGAUGCCCGGUCAAGUGAAGGCGAACUGAAACGAGCUGAGGUUAAGCUGAGCGAGUGGACCUAACCUAUAGCGGCGGGUCAGACCAGGGUUUAUCCUAACCUAGCAGGAGUGAGCUGAAGCAGAUCUAUAGGGUGAACCAGCUCCGCGCCCUCAGUACUUGAACUGGUCCAUGGGAAAGGCCAAAAGAGUAGGGUCAAUCAGAUGAGGACCCCCAGACUCCCCAGCCAAAGGAGACUGGCCUUCCCUAGGCCCCUGCACUGAUGGGCCUCUGAGUCCCCGCUGCCAUAAAUGACCGCGAGGUUCUGAUUCCCAGCCCUACAGUAACAGGCUGGGGAACUUGGUGGGAUCAUUUCGCAUUGCUGAGCCCUUUCGUCCAACUGAGCCAAGUUAGUUUUAUGACCCGCAGCCAUGUCCUCCUGACUUGGCAGCCUUGGCUCCACACAACAUUCCCUGUGCCCCGUGGGCUAAGGCAUCCUUUACAGGCUGUGCGAUGGUUUAAAGUGUCAACGUGACAGAAUCUAGAAUCACCUUGGAAACAAAUCUCUGUGUGUGUCUGUGAAGAAGUUUCUACAUCAGGUUAAUUGACGUGGGAAGAUCCACUCUAAAUGUGGGCCACAGCAUUCCAUCAUCUGUGGCCCCAGACCGCAGAAAACUAGCUGAGUUAGGAGCUUUCGUCUCCUUCUGCUUUCUGAACGUGGAGGCAGUGUGGUCUUCCUGCGAGCUGCCUCAAAAAACUGUCUAUUGCAGUGCCUUCCCCAUCAUGGUAAACAUCCCUUCCUAGAACUGGAAGCUGGUUUAAAUCCUUCCUCCCUCACAUUGCUUCUUGUCCUGCAUUUUCUUAAAACAGAGAGCAAAAUAACUAAUGCAGGAUGCAUCUUGAGCUCAAAGAACAAGAAAAUUAAAAAUCUGUAGCGAUUACAACACAAGUGUGGACCCUCAAGUCAGGCAGCAAACUGCAAGUCACCAACAUUAAUUACAACAGGAAGUGUUGAAAUAAGGCUUUGUUUUGGUUUGGGUUUUUGUUUUGUUUUGUUUUGUUUUGUUUUUGAGGAGUCUCAUAGCUGAGAAUGGCCUUAAAUUACUGAUCCUCCUGCCUCCACCGGCCAAAUGCUAGAAUUACAGGCUUGUGGCACCCCGUCCAACAAGAUUUAUUAAAGCAAGACAGACAGGACUUCAAGACCAUUUGCCAAACCUGAGUCAGCCAUUGAGUCACUACAUUCAGAUGCUACCAUGAAACUAGACAGUGGCGACAUAGGCCUGAAAACCCAGCUACUCAGGAGGCUGACACAGAAGGAUCACAAAUUCCAGGUCAGCCUGGGCUACAGAAAGCAGUAAAAGAACAAUGCAGAACAGAUGUUGUCAUCCUAUCAGGGAACACUGUACAGACUUCAUUCAGUUCCUGUACCAGUCAUGCGCUAGCUUACCAAGUGGAUGGCGUGGAUUUUAAUGUCAAUUCGGUCACAACAUGGACAAGUCAAAGUUUUAAGACGUGAGUGUGGAGCUGAUCCUUAUGGAGUGUUGCUCAGACUUGCCGGGUAGAAGGAAGAGCUAGUAGGUGGAAAGUGGCGUCUACCACCAUAAAGAACUUAAACAGGACAGAAGCCAGGGAACUGUCAACCAUCAAGUUCAAUUGUCAACCACUGGCAUCCAGAAAACCUCAGUGACACUGAACCAAAGACAGAAGAGUUAGAAAUCAUGUUUCAGCCAAGUGGCUCAGGAAUUAAAGUCACCAAUCUCUAAACCUCAGACCAUGCUAAACACCAGUCUAGAGCGCAAGAUGGGUUCUAGCUGCCAAACUUCACAAACUGACUUCCAUCCCUGGGACUCGCAUGGUAGAAGCAGAGACCUGACUGCAGCAAGUUAUUCUCUAACCUACUCUCAUCACACACAUCCACACCCACCACAUACAUACACACACACACACACACACACUUAAUUUUUUAAAACUGGCCUACCUACAAACAAAAAGAAGAGUCAAGCCCCAAAAUUGAAGAACUUGAAGAUGCAGUUAAAGAUUUAAGUAAAUUAUUCCCUAUAGAAAGUAACAUAGAGUUUGACAUAGGAAGAAUGUGUCUCUGUUUCCAUUCAAAAGAAACAAAGUCUUAGAUGUAGACCUUUGAAAGUACAGGCUUGUGCAGUAGACCAAAGUGAUUCCGUGGAAGAAGAAGGGAAAUCUGAAAAGCCUAAGGGAAGUUCAGAGUUUCCAAAGGAAUUCAAUGCAUACACCAAAGAAAACAAGAACACUUAUAGCAUAGGAUGAGAAAAGAUUCCUCGAAUCCACAGAUGAACUUCCUGGAAAAGAUGGAACACCUUGGGGAACAACAGAGCAGGGUAAGCCUGUGGCUAACCCUAAAAUGCUACAUGUUGUCACAGAACUAUGUGUCAACAUAGUGUGUCUAACGUGUCAAACCACUGAGUCUCAGCCACAUGUUAGAAAGACCUGCUUAAGGAGAAAGAGCAACAUCAGUGAAAACUCCUGAACCUAAAAAGCAGUGUAAGAUGUCCCUGCUUCAGUUUUUAAGAGACGGGCAGGGGUUAAUUUAAAAAACCAACACAGGCAAACAACUACCUUCCCUAUUCCCAAUUCUUUUCAGGGAAAAUUCAAGAAGCAGCUCAGUUGGUAGAGUGCUUGCCAAGUAUCCCUGGGGCUCUGGGCUCAAUCCUCAGCACUGUACAAAUUGGCUAUAGUAAUACAGAUCCAACAAUUGGAAGGUAGAAAGAGAAGGGUUGUGAAUUCAGAGUUACUCUUGGCUAUAUACAGAAUUAGAAAGCAGCCUGAACUAUAUGAGACCCUUUCUC
rnacentral:lncRNA from 1 species